AUUGAACGCUGGCGGCAUGCCUUACACAUGCAAGUCGAACGGCAGCGCGGGUGCUUGCACCUGGUGGCGAGUGGCGAACGGGUGAGUAAUACAUCGGAACAUGUCCUGUAGUGGGGGAUAGCCCGGCGAAAGCCGGAUUAAUACCGCAUACGAUCCACGGAUGAAAGCGGGGGACCUUCGGGCCUCGCGCUAUAGGGUUGGCCGAUGGCUGAUUAGCUAGUUGGUGGGGUAAAGGCCUACCAAGGCGACGAUCAGUAGCUGGUCUGAGAGGACGACCAGCCACACUGGGACUGAGACACGGCCCAGACUCCUACGGGAGGCAGCAGUGGGGAAUUUUGGACAAUGGGCGAAAGCCUGAUCCAGCAAUGCCGCGUGUGUGAAGAAGGCCUUCGGGUUGUAAAGCACUUUUGUCCGGAAAGAAAUCCUUGGCUCUAAUACAGUCGGGGGAUGACGGUACCGGAAGAAUAAGCACCGGCUAACUACGUG
rnacentral:rRNA from 1 species